UUGCAUUGUUAAGUGGCCCACCCGUCAUGCUAUAGCCAGGUGAGCUUCAUUGCAAUGCAAGAGGAACUCCCUCCUAGCAGAAGGGCCAGGCCCGCCGUGGUCUGCUCCCUUCAAUCAGUCAGUUGUAUUU